GGAAGAAAAUUCUGAGGUCAAAUAAGGCGGAAGUAAUAAAAGAAACCAUCCUCUACCAAAUCAAAUCACGUUUUAAGAAAAGUAGUGCAAUUUUAAGGACAAUAUUGACUUUUCACCCAAUCAAAAUACAUUUAUUAUAAUUAUUAUUUAUGGGACCAAGCUUAUGAUAAACAAAUACAUUCAGAGUCGUGCUGUGGUCCAAUAACAAAAGGGAUUAUUCUACGAUUAUUAUCCUACAAGUUUUUCCAACUCAGCCAGCUACUGAUAUAGAUACCCCUGGAAAGCCUGAGGACCUCUUUGAUAUCUCCGAAUAUAAUAAAUAAAUAAAAUAAGCUGAUAAACCUAAGGUGUCGAAAAUCUAAUUUAUCAGAUUAUAUAAUGAAUUGUGCGGACUAUAAUGCGUCUCAUCUAGCUGUAAAAUUAUUAUCUGAG
rnacentral:misc_RNA from 1 species